GCCAGGUGCGGUGGUGCAUGCCUGUGGUCCUAGCUACUUGGGAGGCUGAGGUGGGAGGAUCACUUGAGUCCAGGAGGUCGAGGCUGCCGUGAUCUAUGAUUGUGCCACUGCACUCUUGCCUGGGUGACAGAUUGAGCUCCUAUCUCUA
ensembl:misc_RNA Metazoa_SRP Metazoan signal recognition particle RNA